UGUGUGUGUGUGUGUGUGUGUGUGUGUGUGUGUGAUGCAAGCCUGCCGGGCUUUGCUGUAAUCGAGGCCGGAUGGACAUCGAGGCUAAGAGUUGCAGCAACGCUUCAGGCUGUGAUGUAUAAAACACACACACACACACACACACACACACACACA
rnacentral:miRNA from 14 species